rnacentral:rRNA from 1 species
AGCGAACGCUGGCGGCAGGCUUAACACAUGCAAGUCGAGCGGGCACUUCGGUGUCAGCGGCAGACGGGUGAGUAACACGUGGGAACGUACCCUUCGGUUCGGAAUAACGCUGGGAAACUAGCGCUAAUACCGGAUACGCCCUUUCGGGGAAAGGUUUACUGCCGAAGGAUCGGCCCGCGUCUGAUUAGCUAGUUGGUGGGGUAAUGGCCUACCAAGGCGACGAUCAGUAGCUGGUCUGAGUGGAUGAUCAGCCACACUGGGACUGAGACACGGCCCAGACUCCUACGGGAGGCAGCAGUGGGGAAUAUUGGACAAUGGGCGCAAGCCUGAUCCAGCCAUGCCGCGUGAGUGAUGAAGGCCUUAGGGUUGUAAAGCUCUUUUGUCCGGGACGAUAAUGACGGUACCGGAAGAAUAAGCCCCGGCUAACUUCGUG